AACGAACGCUGGCGGCGCGCCUAACACAUGCAAGUCGAGCGAUUAAAGCUCCUUCGGGAGUGUAUAAAGCGGCGGACGGGUGAGUAAAGCAUAGAUGACCUGCCCUAAAGAGGGGGAUAGCCUGGGGAAACUCGGGUUAAUACCGCGUAAGCUGAACGAGUGAAUGUCGUUUAGUAAAGGCUUCGGCCGCUUUGGGAUGGGUCUAUGUUAGAUUAGAUAGUUGGUGAGGUAACGGCUCACCAAGUCAACGAUCUAUAACUGGUCUGAGAGGAUGAUCAGUCACACUGGAACUGAGACACGGUCCAGACUCCUACGGGAGGCAGCAGUGAGGAAUUUUGCGCAAUGGGGGAAACCCUGACGCAGCGACGCCGCGUGGAGGAUGAAGUCUUUCGAGAUGUAAACUCCUGUCAGUGGGAACGAUAAUGACGGUACCCACAGAGGAAGCACCGGCUAACUCCG
rnacentral:rRNA from 1 species